AGCAAAGGGAGAGAAUCAUCUCCCUUGACCUGCUCGUCACCCUCUUUUAGUGCGCCCCAGGAUACCACUAGGUAUCUUGGCCACAAGAGCACACUGUUAACUCUGCAGAGCUCUUUUCCAGCAGAACAUCCCCUAGCCUAUACGGUUAUUUCUCCUCAGAUUCAAAGAAAAGGAAGCUUCGUGAAUACUUACAUCGGAAAACAACUAUGGACUGCACUAGAUUUCCAAUCCAAAACAAUAGCACUUGAGCUGUAGCUGGAUAAAGAUGAAUGGGUAUGUUUUUGAGCAGUCGGAACUUGGAGCUGUGGGAAGUCUGUAUUAAUUUCUGCUGGCUAAGAAACUGCAGAAGAAUUAUGCCAUCUGUAAUCAGGCUGAGAGAUCUCAAUUAUCACAGUUCUACAUGACUAGGCUAAAGAUGCUAACAACCUCUACCAGAGAACAGCUUUUUCAGACUUUCACCUUCCCUGUGGAACUAUUGUACAAGAGUUCAUAAAGUUUAGAAGAAAAAUAUUUUGACCUACAAUGCAAAACCUCUUGAUAUUUUGUCAAAUUUAUUUUAUGCCAGCAGCAUUCACUGAUUUUAAUUGAAUGGAAACAACAGUUCUCAUCUUCUAUGUCACAUUGCUGGAUUUUGUAUCAUUGAAUUUCAAGCUAGUUUCACUGGGACCUGUCGAGUGUGGCUUAUGCCAACCUCUGAGUCUCCUUGCUAAACUCUUUUCCAGGGCAGCAUUGUUUGCCUUUUGUCUGUUCUCUGAUUAA